GGAAUCGAACCUCCGCGUUGCAACUGUUCCCACUGAUGACUCCCCCCUCCCCAGCGACGUGCGCUCUGUAGCCCGUUCGAGCUAACUCCGGACACGUCCUAACCUAACAACGGGGGCUAACAGCUGGCGAUCGUUCCUAACGGGGAAUCGGAGACUCUCUCGCGUGGUGCUGCUAGAAGACCCUUCGGACUCGCAGUGUUCUACAAUAAUAUCGUUCUCAAUGAUGCUUUGAGUAAUUUUCGGCCCUACCGAGAGCGCAUCAUGCAAAAAUUGAUCGAUGCGCGCGACACUUGGCGAUGAGAAAGAAGCUACACCGUGGGACAAUGUUCUUUUUUUGUUCUUUCUACUAGAUACUAAACCCAAACCAUAUCUGCAUAACAAGCACUCAAGCACGGGCACACGUUGACUACACAGAGGAAAGCGAAUCAGACUCUUGCAUCAGGACAGAUAACAGCGACCACAGAUAAUGCGAGAUUAAGCUGCCUUGCAUUAAUAACAUGUAUAGGAAAAGAACUACCCAGACAGCCAAUCUACAAAAAGCAGAGUACCUGCUACAGACUCUGUCAGCAGCUUGCUAGCAGAAAUACAAUCGAUUUUGAUAGCAGGAUAUAAUAUACAUGAUGGACUGACGGAGCAGAAUGUGUCGUUGCAAUGCAUUUAAAUGGAACGUACAACUCCCGCUCACUUUUUGCUGGCAGAGUCUGCUGAGCAGGCUGUGCAGAUUACAAUAGCCGAAUGCGGACAGAAUGGAUGCCAAUUUGCCAGCAAGUUUUAUGGAAGUCUGUUGCUAACGUGCCGGCGUACUGCUCACAUCUUGCUUACUGGGAUGCGUACAACAAUAUUAAAAUAUUUAACAGCCUUGCAGUUAAACGGCAGCUAAGACGCGACAAAUUAAUUUUAUCACCUUGAUUUCUCUUCACAUACCACAUCCUUGCAAUUGCAUUACUGAAAAAGUGCAUUUGCAAGAGCAAACCAUAUGAUCAGCUGUUGGUUUACUGAUAGGUUAGGUAGUUAUGCUGCAAUCAUUGGUCUUUUUUUAUAAUCGCGCACCUUGUGUCGUGCAAAAUGGAAAAACUGCAACGUACAAGAUAAUAAAAUAUAUGCAAACAUGCGUGUAUUUAAACAAGCCGACCAUUGGAGACGAUAUUUCCAACACGGGUUAUUUUUUCAAUAAUCUAUGAAGAAACGUGAAAUCUUUAUAAGGUAUCAAGUGCCUGAUAUAUCAAGUAAGUAAAUUAAUGUAAUCUUCGUUUUCAAUUUGCAUUUUGCUGAAACGUACUCGCGACAUCGAACGCUGCUCGUUAACCGAGAUCCGCGCUGGAGCGCUGGUGUCCAAUGGUUUCUCGAUUCGAACACAUGUAGAGGGCAAGGUCUGCACGUGAAUAAAAUAUCGCAGUCAGUAUCAAUCGUACGUGAUACUUUGGAGAUAAUACUAAUAGCGUGACAGAACCAGGCAGAACAAGACAAAACGAACACAGGCACGGGUGAAUCGCGAGCGAGAAGAAGAGGGAGCGCUAGUCAGCGGCCUACUGCUACGCGAGAACGAGCAGGGUGCAACCAAAAUGAAAGUACACCGAUCGCAGUUAGU